CUCUGAGGAUGAUUAUUGAGUGA
rnacentral:piRNA from 1 species